AGUUUGGGUAUCUGGCAUGUCUACCGUCCCAAAAACUCUGGAAAAAAAAUCACUCCCGCGAUUUGUUGUGGUUCCUCUAUUUCAGAAACUAUGUGCUAAAGUGCGUCCAAUGGAAUUUCCCCCGAAAUAGACGUCAUAGUCGAAAAAUGCCCAUUUAGUACAUUCCCCCAUAGCUCUAUGCACUCCCCCACUACCACUCGACCCACCCCUAGAUGGACCCUCCCACUUUAUAGAAGCUCGGUCCACCGGUGUCCGCCAUUUCAUUCUUGCAAGCCUUGGAAACACUUGGAUAAGCUAACAGCAGCAUGAAUCGGUGGUCGGCUGCAAACAUGUCUUCAUGUGACUCCAGCUUCAGAAGACACAAGAUUGAGAUGGAUUGAGUUCAUAUAUGAUGGCAACGUUCCUGCCACCACUUUGAAUCAGACUUUUUUAUCAACCUGGGCCAAUAUAACGCUGGAUUCUCUAAAAGGUUGUUAUUGAAAGAGGGGUCGGUGCCAUCUUUCUAUCGCAAUACUGAAAACGAGGGAAAUGCAAGCACAUCUGUUCACGGUGCUAGGCUACAUCACGUAGCAUGCCAGACGGACCCACCAAAGAUGAGCACACAUGGAACGCAGCUUUCUAUGAAAACACUGCGACCUCACUACAAAAGUACAGACAGAGAACUUCUGCUGGGAAAUUCGUGGAGAUCAUACGCUCAACCCUGCAAUCUGUAUCACCACAAAAAGCCUGAACUGAAACAGUUUGUCAAACUGCUGGAGAUAAAAAUACUUCUUCAAUCGGAAUCAAAACUCACCGAUCUUGGAGGGGAACAGCGUCUCAUCAUCCAGCUGAUCCUGCACCCAGGUCAUCAGGUAGUCGAUGUAUUUGGGCGCAGAGCAUUUGAUAGGUUUCUUAAUGUUGGUGCCAUCAGCCCAGUGAUACUCAUAUCUACAGAAAGAGAGCGAAAUGAACUGACACUCUGACACAAAUAUAAAAAGCCCUACUUAUAACAUGUACUAAGAAAACAUCAUUUAGUAGCAGAUAAGCUAAAAAACAGCAGAAGGGGGAAAUGCAAUAGUGUCUACAGUCGCCUAGUUGCUUGCAAAUAUGUCAACAGGAAGUGAACCCUAGUCUCUGCCUCCUGAUUAGAGACUGAAGACAGUCUUGGCUGUAGAGGGGAUAGAGGAAGUGCCGAAUCUAGAUUCUAACUAAACAGCUUCUGCAGCGACCACAUGCUCAGUGUAAUUCCUGUUUUCCUCAUGUGACGUUCAGAUGAUGUCAUUGAAAUUCAUUUACUUUGACCAUCUCUCUUCUAACUUUAAACUAACCCUAACCAGGACCGUAAAUGAGUCCACGACUUGAUUCUUUUAAGUACAUUAUUUCCAAAUCCAGACCUAAAGUUUUUCCAUCACCAACACUCUAUAAUGGUGGUUUUACACUAAAUGUAAUUUAACUAAAAUGGAUAAUAAUAGAAAUAGACAUUAAGGCUGCAAAGUCGCUGCUCAGUUCGAAAUCAUUUUUAAAAUAAGGGAAACAAAAUAGUCCACUGAAUUUACUUUAAAUUCAAUUAGAUUUUAAUUACUAAGUGGAUGUGAUCAGAAAUUAAGUUUCAUUCAGAGUAAGCUUCUGAGGUCAAGAAGAAGUCAUUACAGUUUCAAACAUUAUAACAAGUAAAAAGUGAAGCUCUGAUAACUCAUUAAUAAACUAACAUGCACAACAUUAGUUACUGUUAAAUCCUUAAUUUCUUCAGUUACAGAGACACUGUACUGCAUCAUGUAUAAAAGUAAGGGAAUCUUUUAAUAAUACAAGGUAUUUAUAGCUGUUUUAAGCUCUGUAUAAUUGUGCUGUUUUUUGAUUAUUGACUCGGACUGUUCCUUGUGCUUAUGAUGCAGAGUUAAUCCACAUUUGCACAGUGACGUAAAUUUAUAUUAAUACAGGCAGUGUAUUGACAGCAGACACUAGUCAUAGUAAGCCUAGUGUAACUUAUGAAAUUAACAGUGGGGCUGUUCUACUUAAGUUUCUCAGUAAACCAUGACCAUGUGACAGGAAAGCAGCAUUAAAAACACAAUUCCAUUUUUACGUUCUUCCUACUGUGGCAUGUCACAAUAUAUUCUGUAAAAAAAAAUGUAUAUGGCCUAUUAGAAGCCCUGUAGCCAAAAAGAAGCUCCAAUACCUUGGUCCAGCAGACAUCACAGAGCAGCUGGUCUCAGUGCAGAACUCAGUGAUGGUGCCGUAGAGCAUGUUGAUCUGGUUAAAGAAGUCCACCGCUGAAAGAAUUGUUAACUGUUAUUUUUUGUUCUCCAGUAAUGACAUUUAACAACAAUGAUACUAAUACUAUACAGUCAUAAAAGGUUUUACUUAACCAGGCAACUAGUUGCUUUUUCACUCUGAAGAAUCUUUUAUGUCCUCUCUUUCUUGGAAUUCUCAAGUAUAUAAUCCUGGUUUUGAACAUUUUCUUGAAAUUUUUCUGAAAUGUUACCUGCCAGGACCCCGCAUUAUGUGAGAAUAUAAUGGAAUACUUCACUGUGAACAAGUGGUUGUUGAUAACAUUUCUAACACAUGAAAAACAAAUAAAACUGGAUGAAUACAAAUAUCUCAGGAAGAAAAAGAUGUGACAGACACAACGAAGACACCAACUAUGAAAUGAGGUUGGUGAGAAGGGCAAAAGCUGUUAUUAAUGUUCAGUAAACAAUUUUUUUCAAAGUGGUGUAACUUAUACAUCACGACCUGCCUCUAGCACGCUUUUGCACAGGUCCUGCUGCACUCUUCAAAUGUGUGAAACUUUUGAAAAUGUCAUGACCCAAUUAACCAGACAUUUCAUAUCUGACCACGACUUGAGUGAUUCAUAAGCGAAUCUUAAUCUUGUUGGGCUUUAAUAAACAGUUGACUGUG